AGGUAAAGUUUAAUAACGUUUCAUUUACACUGAAAAAAUUCUUUAUGGAUACUUUGAGG
rnacentral:tRNA from 1 species